CUUUCUUUGCUGGCGACCGGCGCACGGGUGAGUAACACGUAUCCAACCUGCCCUUUACUCGGGGAUAGCCUUUCGAAAGAAAGAUUAAUACCCGAUGGCAUAAUGAUUCCGCAUGGUUUGAUUAUUAAAGGAUUCCGGUAAAGGAUGGGGAUGCGUUCCAUUAGGUUGUUGGUGAGGUAACGGCUCACCAAGCCUUCGAUGGAUAGGGGUUCUGAGAGGAAGGUCCCCCACAUUGGAACUGAGACACGGUCCAA
rnacentral:rRNA from 1 species